UACGGAGGGGGCUAGCGUUGUUCGGAAUUACUGGGCGUAAAGCGCGCGUAGGCGGAUCUGCAAGUCGGGGGUGAAAUCCCGGAGGCUCAACCCUCGGAACAGCCGGGGCUACGGCCGCGCUAGACGGCAUCAGGGGACAGGUGGAACUCCCGGUGGAGCGGUGAAAUGCGUAGAUAUCGGGAGGAACGCCGGUGGCGAAGGCGGCGACCUGGGGUAGAUACGUGACGCUGAGGCGCGAAAGCGUGGGGAGCAAACAGGG
rnacentral:rRNA from 1 species